AGGGAAUUCUUGAGGAGUUGGAUACUUUUCUUCCUUCAGCAUUAAUUGUUUUGUGGGAGGAGGCUGUACAUUGGUGGGGAUAAAAAGCAAGCAGUUCCUGGCCCAUAACAUUCCAGUUGAAGGUGUCUGACUGUUGGCAUGCUGGCACCAGCAUUGGAGGAAGUGAUGAGCUUCAUCUCCAGGUUCCUGUCCUGAGACCACAGCAGGAUGUGCCUUGGUCAAAGGCUUGGACUCUUGGAUCAUCUGGUGACUUCAGAAUUCUGGUCUCAGGGUGGUGAACUUUUUCUUUGAAUUCCUAACCUGUGAGCCUAUG